GAUGCUACCGGUGAUCCUCCAGAUCAUCCGG
rnacentral:rRNA from 1 species